rnacentral:rRNA from 1 species
UACGUAGGGUGCAAGCGUUAAUCGGAAUUACUGGGCGUAAAGCGUGCGCAGGCGGUGAUGUAAGACCGAUGUGAAAUCCCCGGGCUUAACCUGGGAACUGCAUUGGUGACUGCAUUGCUAGAGUAUGGCAGAGGGGGGGUGGAAUUCCACGUGUAGCAGUGAAAUGCGUAGAGAUGUGGAGGAACACCGAUGGCGAAGGCAGCCCCCUGGGCCAAUACUGACGCUCAUGCACGAAAGCGUGGGGAGCAAACAGGAUUAGAGUACCCUGG